rnacentral:rRNA from 1 species
CACGUAGUUAGCCGUGACUUUCUCACAGGGUACCGUCACUGUCUUCUUCCCCUGCGACAACAGUUUACAAUCCGAAGACCUUCUUCCUGCACGCGGCGUUGCUGCGUCAGGGUUCCCCCCAUUGCGCAAUAUUCCACACUGCUGCCUCCCGUAGGAGUCUGGGCCGUGUCUCAGUCCCAAUGCGGCCGAUCAACCUCUCAGUUCGGCUACAGAUCGUCGCCUUGGUGAGCCGUUACCUCACCAACCAGCUAAUCUGACGCGAGUCCAUCCAUAAGCGAUAAAUCUUUCAAAUAUCUACCAUGCGGUAAAUAUUCAAUAUGCGGUAUUAGUCCACGUUUCCAUGGAUUAUCCCCCUCUUAUGGGCAGGUUACUCACGCGUUACUCGCCCGUCCGCCACUUUCCUCUUAAAAGUUCACCCCGAAGGGAUCACACAUAAGAUUCUCGUUCGACUUGCAUGUGUUAGGCACGCCGCACGCGUUCGUCCUCGUACGCCUAGGAGUACAAACUA